GACUUCUGGUUUAAUGCACCUGGCCCGCGGCCCACAAGGCCUGUGAGUGCCGGCGCGCGUUUACCAUCAACGGCUACCCUUAACUGGGCGGCUGGAACUGGAUCUUUUACUUUGAAAAAAUUAGAGUGUUUAAAGCAGGCGUUUGCUCUGAAUACAUUAGCAUGGAAUAAUAAUCUAGGACUUCGGUUCUAUUUAACUAAGAGGGAUAGUUGGGGGUGCUAGUAUUGGCCGGUCAGAGGUGAAAUUCUUGGAUUCGGUCAAGACUAACUUAUGCGAAAGCAUU
rnacentral:rRNA from 1 species